AAGAAGAACUUUUUCUGAGAGUACUGUUCCAGGUAUUGGCGGGUAUUUAACCCAGAAAAGCCAGGGGCAAAUUACGUGCCAGCAGCCGCGGUAAUACGUAGGUGGCAAGCGUUGUCCGGAUUUAUUGGGCGUAAAGCGAGCGCAGGCGGUUUUUUAAGUCUGAUGUGAAAGCCUUCGGCUCAACCGAAGAAGUGCAUCGGAAACUGGGAAACUUGAGUGCAGAAGAGGACAGUGGAACUCCAUGUGUAGCGGUGAAAUGCGUAGAUAUAUGGAAGAACACCAGUGGCGAAGGCGGCUGUCUGGUCCGUAACUGACGCUGAGGCUCGAAAGUAUGGGCAGCAAACAGGAUUAGAUACCCUGGUAGUCCAUACCGUAAACGAUGAAUGCUAAGUGUUGGAGGGUUUCCGCCCUUCAGUGCUGCAGCUAACGCAUUAAGCAUUCCGCCUGGGGAGUACGGCCGCAAGGCUGAAACUCAAAGGAACUGACGGGGGCCCGCACAAGCGGUGGAGCAUGUGGUUUAAUUCGAAGCUACGCGAAGAACCUUACCAGGUCUUGACAUACUAUGCAAAUCUAAGAGAUUAGACGUUCCCUUCGGGGACAUGGAUACAGGUGGUGCAUGGUUGUCGUCAGCUCGUGUCGUGAGAUGUUGGGUUAAGUCCCGCAACGAGCGCAACCCUUAUUAUCAGUUGCCAGCAUUAAGUUGGGCACUCUGGUGAGACUGCCGGUGACAAACCGGAGGAAGGUGGGGAUGACGUCAAAUCAUCAUGCCCCUUAUGACCUGGGCUACACACGUGCUACAAUGGAUGGUACAACGAGUUGCGAACUCGCGAGAGUAAGCUAAUCUCUUAAAGCCAUUCUCAGUUUGGAUUGUAGGCUGCAACUCGCCUACAUGAAGUCGGAAUCGCUAGUAAUCGCGGAUCAGCAUGCCGCGGUGAAUACGUUCCCGGGCCUUGUACACACCGCCCGUCACACCAUGAGAGUUUGUAACACCCAAAGUCGGUGGGGUAACCUUUUAGGAACCAGCCGCCUAAGGUGGGACAGAUGAUUAGGGUGAAGUCGUAACAAGGUAAGUCCGUAA
rnacentral:rRNA from 2 species